CUAUGCUGUGAAGAAUGGAAAAACGCACAUGAAAAGUUCAACUAGAAUAUGGUAUUUUUUACUCCUUCCACUUCUCCUUUUAGAACCUAUAUUACCACUGUGCAAUACAAAGGGAACUAAGUGUUUUUAAAUGUUUUGCAUUAAAUGUUCGGAAACCAUCUCAAUCGCAAUGCCUGAUGAAACAAAAAUUAAAAUAGUGUGUUAAAUUAAUUUAAAUCUUUUAUUGUUAACGAAAAUUAUCUUGCCGCCAAGCUUACAGUAACAGUUGACGAGAACCUGUAGCGAAUAAUGCACAUUCGAAAGGAUUCACUACCCUAG